CCAGUUCUCUUUCUGGGCGCCCUGUGCUAAUCACGUUAAACUGGGAGAAGCAAAGUUCUUCCCACAACUUCAGGUGAAGCUAAAUUGAGCUUUCUCCAAAAAGCCAAGAUGCCUGUGGACAAUCCCUCAGCCUACUCCUUUUCGUUGCACACCUUUCUUCUCUAGGCCUGGAUAAUUGCUUUUAUUUUAUUUAUUUAUUUGUUUAUCUCUCAGGGCCAAUCAACACAAAAUUGAAAGCUGCAUCUGUAAGAAGCCCUAGAGGCAAGGGUUCAGAAAGUAUGGAGCGAAUGUUUGAUACGAUGUGGGGAAGAAGGGAAUGUAUGUGAGCUACUGAAUGCAGAGGGUGAACAAGGGCAGCAUGACCGGUGGGAGGAAAGAACGCGUAAGGAGAACGAAAGCGUUCGUAAGAGUGAGCCUAAAAAACUCUUAAUGCAUCUUAGGCCUUUGGAUUCAGUAGUUUUAAUUGUUCAGAUGCCUGCAGUCAAGGAAGUGAGAAAUGCUCGUAUUUCUAGGUAGGAGUUAAAACAUCCACAGUCCUGCCACAUAAUAGCCUCCCUGCUCCAGUUUGAAAAGCUCUUCAGCGAUGCUUACAUUGUGUUUUUCCUUUUAGCGUGGCCCUCUAUAGACCUACAAGCUAAGCACCACUGCCUUUACAUGAACUCACCUGCCAUGGUUUGAGUGUGGAGGUCAGAAGACAAUUUACAGGAGUUGGUUCUCUCCUUCCACGGCAUGGACCCUGGAGCUCAAACUCAGGCAAUCAUGUUUGGAGGGCCUCAGUCAGCAAAUCGAAGAACAGAACAAGGAAAACUUAAAGUUCAGUAGUUGAUUGAGUAGGAAACCAAGGGCAACAGCCAAUAGAGGUGUGUGCACCAACUACAGAGAGGAAAUAAAUAGGAAUUGCAUGGCAUGGAGGUUCUUGUGCUCACAGAUACUUAGGGGAACGUGGAACAUGAUCAUUAUUUUUCAAGGGAAGGAACGCUACACCUAUUAUCCAUCCA